rnacentral:lncRNA from 1 species
ACUUCUGAUGUCAUUGGGCCGUUCUCGUCGAUGGAGGCUUACUUGUAAUGCGUCCAUCAAGUGUUUGAUCUAUUUGCUUGGUUAAGCUGGCAUGUCGCGUUCUUCUCUUAUGCAGGUCCUGAAGCUCGGGUUUUUGAUGUUGUCUCCUCAGAGCCCAUCGUUUUGCUCGGAAGGUGUGGUGACCAACCGGUGUAUAGGUAUUUCAGUGGAUGAGUGCCCUUCUCUCCCGUUAUUCUGGUUUUGUGAAGUCUAUUGAUUGGAUAGAUUCUUGAUUGCGGAAAAAAUUGGUUUUCAGUUACUUUGGUUGGAAGGCUAACUAGGAUGACUGUACAGUCUCCUAGACUCGGAGAGUACCGACAAUGCGGGUAACUCUGUGUUAAUUCCAUAGUGUUUUCCUCCGGUUGAGAACGAGAUCGAUUCCGCUUAUAGCUCGCUUGUUAGGUGGAUCGAGUCGAUUAGAUAGGUGUAAGAGAAACUUAUUAGGG